UACGGGGGGGAGCAAGCGUUGUUCGGAUUUACUGGGCGUAAAGGGCGGGUAGGCGGCCACCGCAAGUCAGUUGUGAAAUCUCUGGGCUUAACCCAGAAAGGUCAACUGAUACUGCGGGGCUAGAGUGCAGAAGGGGCAACUGGAAUUCUCGGUGUAGCGGUGAAAUGCGUAGAUAUCGAGAGGAACACCUGCGGCGAAGGCGGGUGCUGGGCUGACACUGACGCUGAGGCGCGAAAGCUAGGGGAGCGAACGGG
rnacentral:rRNA from 1 species